CAAAAACAUCGCCUCUUGCCUAUUAUAAGAGGUCCAGCCUGCCCAGUGACUCUGUUCAACGGCCGCGGUAUCCUAACCGUGCGAAGGUAGCGUAAUCACUUGUUCUUUAAAUGAGGACUAGUAUGAAUGGCCCCACGAGGGCUGCACUGUCUCCUUUUUCUAAUCAAUGAAACUAAUCUCCCCGUGAAGAAGCGGGGAUAAUCCUAUAAGACGAGAAGACCCUAUGGAGCUUUAAACAACUGAAACACUUGCUUUUUCCUUAGCAUCUUCUGAGCUCUUUACUUUAUUUAAGCAUUUUUAUUUCUAGUUUUAGGUUGGGGUGACCGCGGAGCAAAACUUAACCUCCAUGAAGAAAUGAAUAUUUUUUAAGCCACAAACUACUUUUUUAAGCAUCAAUAAAUUGACCUUCAUUGACCCAAUAUAUUGAUCAACGAACCAAGUUACCCUAGGGAUAACAGCGCAAUCUACUUCAAGAGCUCAUAUCGACAAGUAGGUUUACGACCUCGAUGUUGGAUCAGGGUAUCCUAGUGGUGCAGCCGCUACUAAUGGUUCGUUUGUUCAACGAUUAAAACCCUACGUGAUCU
rnacentral:rRNA from 1 species